GCAGUUGAUUUUUAAAUGUUGAUUUUGUAACCUGAUAAAUUGGCUGAAUUUGUUUAUUAUCCCUAGCAGUAUUCUGGUAGAGCUUUUUGGAUUUUCUAAGUUUAGGAUCAUAUCAUCUGCAAACAGUGAUAAUUUGACUUCUUCCUUUCCUAUUUUUAUCCCUUACAUUUCUUUCUCUUGCUUAAUUAUCUGGUUAAAAUUCUUAGUAGUGUGUUUAACAGGAGUCAUAGAGUGGACAUCCUUGUCUUGUUACAAAUUUUAAAGAAAAUGCUUUUAGCUUUUCCCCAUUCACUGUGACAUCGGCUCUGGCUUUGUCAUAUAUGACCUUUAUGUUGUUGAGGAAGGGGACUUUGAUGAACCUGGGAUGAUGCUCACUGUGCCCUCUGCUGACUCUGCACACAGUGACAAAUACCUAGACUCUCCUCCUGGCUGCAAACGUGGGCUCAUGGACACCACCCCCAGCCCCUAACACUUCCUUAAAGGCGAUGGGCAGAUGACCUUUGCUGAGAUGUGGAGACCCAGUAAAGAACUUCAGCGGCACGACUCAAAAGCCUUUCCAAAGACUGAGCCAACUGUUAUCUCUGGAGGGCAGCAUUCGAAUCCAGGUCUAUUACAACCUAUUCUCUGAUGAGACUGAAAGUUAAUUGCAAAGGUUUUUUUGUUUGUUUCUGUUGAAGGCCUGUUUGAGGAUGCUUUAUAAGCUUCAACCAAAUUUCAGAAUCCCAGACCUGAACUUCCCAAGAAGUUUGCAGAGUGGCCAUGAGAACAUCCAGGCAUGAACCCUGGGCUGCUUACAUUCACUGGGUGUGGACUGGGUGCUGUCGGAUGGGUCGUUGAUUGCAUUGCUUACCUGAUGUGUGGGUUAUGGUGAUAAUAACGGUUGCCUGGGUUACUUUUCCGGGACAUGAAAGUUGCUUUUGCUGAACUGACUCUUCCCUUGGGCCCACAGAUGUCUGGAUUGGAACCUCUGUUUUCAUAUUAUGUCCGAUCCCUUUUGCCUUAAGUUUUGUGUUAGAGUCUACCCAGUCCUGCGUGUAGACUGUUGGUGGCCAGCUGCUAAGCAUAUUCCUCAGCAAUCCAAGCACCCAGAGUCCUCCAGUUCUAUCCUAAGGCCCAGAAAGAACCUGUGCACACACAUAUGGAGAAGAUGCCGGUGCCCACUCCAGGAAGACAAGCUGAUGGUGACCGCCCCGUUCUCAGCCUUGUGCAAGAAGAACAACUUUUGGAAUCGUUCCCCCGGCCAGUGGAAAUUAUAACUCUAACCGCCCCAGCAAAUCCAUACAAGCUUGUACCUCCCUUUGUUCAGGAAGCAACCCGGUGCCCCUUUGCAUCACUGUGUCCCUUCAGCCGAAGCCCAAUUAAAGCCCUGCCGGUAUCGUGCUCACCAGAA